GGGCGGAGGCGGAGGCGGAGGGAAUCCUCGGCAUAAAAAGUCAAAAGGCGUCUUUGCACUCUGAGCCGCACGUGAGCAACUACACUCCCUACACAUGAUGGACGCCAGCAUGCGAGCGCAGAUUUUCAUUCUGGAGAGGCAACGGCGAGAGCUGCUGACCAUCAAUGAGAAAUGGGCCAGAGAGUACAACAACAUGGUGGCAUUCUACCAAAAUAAGGUUAAUAGAAAUGACUGUAUUAUGAUUGCAAUA